AUGGUUAAUGUAGUUCUGAGCCUUCGUAGUUUUCAGGUCACGCUUCCGCAUACCAAAUGCAUGUCAGAUGGUACACCCUUGGGAAGGAGGCCCAAAGAUCACAGCCCCCCCCCCCCAAAAAAAAAAACCCCUGAAACACCUACUUUCCCCCUCCAGCUAAAAUCGAACAGUCGCGAGCCACCUCAAGUCCUGGUAAAUAACUAGAAGUGGCUUACGAUGCACGUGAGGACAAAGCCGAAAACAAAUGUCUACAUGAACAACAGCGGGUGGAGCCAACAGGAUCCGUUUGAUGAUUUGAUACCACCUACAGCCAGACAGAACCUGGCUGACACAUAUGUUACAUGUACUAUGCAGUCUAUACUAUCCAAGUAUGCACAAUUGUGUACAUAAGCCUAACCAUGUCUUACUCCACAGAUAGGGUAAUUACAGACGGAAGCAUGCGCUAUACUACAUCAUAUUUCAUACAUCAUACUACUACAUACAAGAGUAGCUCUCAGAGCAUUGGCAGCGUCUUGGGCAGUUCAAACUUGGCGCUCUACCAAUUACUCAUAGCUGUUCUCACCAGCCAUUGGUCAAUGCUACAUUCAAAUGAACUUCCAUAUAUGGUGUUGUCACGUGUUCUAUUCCUAAAAUAGCCUAGUUACCUAGUAACAUAAACAUCUGUUACAAAUACUCUAUACGCCUUUUAUCUUAUCUGUCUCAGUCUCUUCUUCCAGUGUCCGGCAAAGUAAAAAAGAUAGACUGGACAUAUUUUUUGAACGUGUUCGCCUUUUUAAGACUCUUUUAACCUUAGGCAUUUUGGCAUCAACAAAACUGGUACCUGUGAACUUGCUAAUAAGGCUACCUAAGAAUGAUUAUGAAUGUCUUAUGCUACGGUCACAUUUCCAAACCAGAAGUUACCGGAAUAAAGAAAUAAAGCUACAUUUAUGAAGGAUAGACAUCCAAAUUAACAAUAUUCAAAUCCAAUCCAAUAGAGAUUGAAUUGUAUUCGAAAAAGUAAAGCUGUUGUAACGAUGGCAUAUCUGGCCAUGUUAUGAUAAUAUUGUUAAUACUCUCUUUACUUCUAUGUAUGUUAAGUUACAGCCCAUAGCAACAGUGAUGGUUGCCUUCUCGUUCACACCUUGUUCAUUAUGUAUGCAUUUGCUCUCUUUGAUGUGUAGUUAAUGGUCCCUCUGUUAAUUCCCUGUCUGCCAGUUCUAUUCUGCAAGACAAUAGGAUUGUCUGGCCAACACAACCUUGUACUUGUAUGUGAAAAGUAACAGGACUAGUUCAUCCAUAUCAAUAGAAUAAUGCCGACUUAUUAGGAUAGGAUAAAUAGAAUAGCAAACUAGAGUUGAGGGCAGUCCUUGAGUUCAGUCGAUGUAAGAGAACAGUCUGUACAGAGACACUGCCGUAACUGGAAUACCCGCCGAGCCGUAUUGAAGCCUGAUCCGUGCCUGUAACUGCCCUCUACAUACUUCUAAUUUGUUCACGAGAGCUGCCCAAUCGGACCCCGGUUUGGAACUGUUACCGUAAAACUACCCCCAGCUUGAGGAGCGAAAGUUGCCUGGUCGGUUCCCGUUUGGAAAUGUGACCGUAACAUUACCCUUAUUUUUGAGGAGCUGUUGAAGAUCUUGUUUGAGAGAUUUAGUAAUUCUUUUGGCAAAUCUUUUAUCGAAUAUUGUGUUGACCCUUUCACCUCACCUAGUAUUAGGCCACAGUAAGUAGCUAUUGUGGAUGACAUCAGCGCGAAUGAAUCCUUCCUCUCAGAAAAUGGUAAAGAGAAAAUAUAAAAAUGAGAAAAUAUGCCUUGUAGCCUUGAUUGUACUAGUAGAAGUGACACUACUGUGGUAGCAAUGAGUAUAGUUGUUGAAGUGAAAAUAGUUCGGAGGUUGUGGAGGUAAUAGAGCGAAGUUUCUAACUUGGUUCGAACAAGAAUAAAAGACAUGUUAGCUCAAAAUGAUACGUGACCAUGUUUUACCAUUGUUGUUACAACGUUUAUGAUGUCCAUGUUUUGAAAAUUUAGGCAUCUUGUUUUUAUAGUCAUGUUGUUUUUUUCACCUUAUCGUAUAAAAUUUGGAGUCUGCAUCGGAUGUCAUCCAUAUAAUUUACAUGCUGUGGCCUUUUGGGUGUCGCCUGUACCAUGCAGUGACAUGCCGCCCCGGUAACUAAGACCACAUGUACAGGAGUAGGGAGACAGAGACGUGGCAGUUAGGAAGGAGCACAGCUACAGCUAGCAAGACGUGCCUUGGACGGUUCACAGAGGGCUGGAGAACAGACCAAAAUUGAUCUUUCACAAGAAGGUCGGAUAGAGAGCGAGUGAACUGUAGUCUGGAUGCCUGCACAGGCAAACUCCUCGGCACUAGGGCCAGCAUGCCCCAAAGGAAGACCUCAUGGUUAAGAUUUCAUUGGGAGUAUCUUGCUCCUGGAGCUGGGCUGUGUAGGCCCUAGAAACAAACAUUCUGACGUCGAGGCUAAUGGAACUGAGGUCCGUAGCGGGCAGGCCUGGUAGCAGGCUGAUGACGAGCCGUUAACUGAACCUAGCAGUGACCAGCGACCGGGGAGGAGGAAAGAACACAGAACUUUGAGGUCCGACCCCAGACUCCGAGGCCGCUGGUCCGGAAAUCUCGGACGAUGCAGAGGGGCAAAACGGCCAUGCGGCACUGAGGUCCGAGCGGGAAAAAGAUUUGGAGACUGUUUGACUGAGGAAAGUAACGGUCAUCUUCUCCGCCCGCAGUGACAACGACACAGUGGUCCGAACAGUUCUUGUACGUCACUGACCCCCUCAGACG